rnacentral:rRNA from 1 species
UACGUAGGGCGCGAGCGUUAAUCGGAAUUACUGGGCGUAAAGCGUGCGCAGGCGGUUCUCUAAGACCGAUGUGAAAUCCCCGGGCUUAACCUGGGAACUGCAUUGGUGACUGGCGGGCUAGAGUAUGGCAGAGGGGGGUAGAAUUCCACGUGUAGCAGUGAAAUGCGUAGAGAUGUGGAGGAAUACCGAUGGCGAAGGCAGCCCCCUGGGCCAAUACUGACGCUCAUGCACGAAAGCGUGGGGAGCAAACAGG